rnacentral:lncRNA from 1 species
CACACACACACACACACACACACACACACACACACACACACGGGGAGGGGGAUGUUGGGGAGAUACACAUACACACACAUACACUGUAAAUAACCACACAUAUUUUUAUGUUUUAGGGCUAUGGAUGUGGGUCGGUGGUAGAGUGCUUCCCCAGCAAGCAUGAUGAGGCCCUGGAUUUUGUCCCCAGCAUUGACGAAGUAAAACGCUGGUCAAAGAAGAGAAGAUGGUUUGGAGGGAUGGAAAGUGCUAAUGCAGUUAGACAUGGACAUUAAUGAGAAUGGCUAAGUGUUCAAUGCCAGUCCUGGUAGAAGAAGGAGAGAAGGAGGAGAAGAGAGAGGAAGAAGGGCAGAGGGAAGAAGAGGAGAGGAGGAGAAGGAGGAGGAGUCACAGAAAACAGAAGUCAAACUGAAGGAAGACCUGCUUCAAAGCUGAUGCAGACAGUGGAUAGCUGAGGUUAUGGUUGGAUGGUGCCUGAUAAGUCAGCAAAUAAAACCAAGUAACAACAAUUGACAUCGUUGGAAGUAGAGAACCAGAAAACAUGAGAGCAGGCGACUGUGUUUUUAAAAACCUUCUUGAU